GCCUUGAAAUGGAAUCCCUUCCUUGUGCAUUAGCUUUGCUAGCCCUAUGGCUGUGGCAUAAUCCCCUUCUCUCUGCAAAAUUCAAAAGCUUCUGCAUAUAAAUCUCCCACAUCAUAUUUCGUAGACUCAAAUUUGAAUGUGAAUCCUAAGUCCAAUAGCUUCUUUGAUGAGCAAGAAAUAGCUUUCGGGGAUUCUUCAAUACCCUCAAAUUUGGUAGGAAUAUCAUACUCAGGAUACUUUUG
rnacentral:misc_RNA from 1 species